CUACGUUGAAGAACAGAGCAUUUAGCUCCUCUGUCAGAAUGAAUGGGAACCAGAAAUUGGAUGUUUAUAACCAAGAAAAGCAGAAUUUAAUCCAGCACUUCUCCCAGAUCAUCAAGGUGCUGACUGAGGAUGAGCUGGGACACCCAGAGCCAGGGGAUGCUAUUACCUGGCUCCAGGAGGCCCUAGAGUACAGUGCCGUAGGAGGCAAGUACAACCGGGGUUUUGAUGUGGUACAAGCCUUCCAGGAGCGGGUGGAGCUGAGAAAACAGGAUGCUGAGCGUCUUCAGCUGACCCUGACUAUGGGCUGGUGUGUAGAAAUGCUACAGGCUUUCUUCCUGGUGUCAGAUGACACCAUGGACUCUUCCCUCACUUGCCGGGGGCAGAUCCGCUGGUAACAGAAACCAGGCAUAGGCUUGGAUGCCAUCAAUGAUGCCCUGCUUCUGGAAGCCUCCAUCUACCACCUGCUGAAGUUCUUCAGGGAGCAGCCCUACUAUGUGAACCUGCUGGAGCUCUUUCUGUAGAGUUCCUUUCAGACUGAGAUCAGGCAGACCUCAUGACAGCACCCCAGGGCCAUGUGGAUCUUGGUAGAUACACUGAAAAGAGGUACAAAUCUAUUGUCAAGUACAAGACAGCUUUCUUUUUCUACCUGCCUAUUGUGUCUGCCAUGUACAUUAUGGCGGGUUCAUUCCCUCAACAGGAACAUGCCAAUGCCCUGAAGAUCCUGCUAGACAUGGGCAAGUUCUUCAGGUCCGGGACAACUACCUUGAUCUCUUUGGAGACCCCAGUGUGAUCAGAAAGGUCGGCAUUGGCAUCCUGGACAACAAAUGCAGCUGGCUGAUGGUUUAGGGUCUGCUAAGAGCCACUCUUUAACAGUGCCAGAUCUUAGAGGAGAAUUAUGGACAGAAGGACCCAGAAAAAGUGGCGCAGGUAAAAGCACUGUAUGAGGCACUGGAUCUGCAGACUGUGUUCUUCAAGUAAGAGGAAGACAGUUACAACCACUUCAAGAGUCUCAUUGAGCAGUGCUCUGAGCCUCUGCCCCCAUCCAUCUUCUUGGAACUAGCAAACAAGAUCUACAAGUGGAAAAAGUGA